GGGUAUGAGCACGAUCUGGUUGUAACAUCUGUCACCCCAUUGGUCAUCAGGGUUGAUUCAGUUGAUCUGGCUGGCUAGGCAGAUAGCCCCUUCUUCCCCCACUGCUCCCUCUAUGUCCUUCCUGAAGAUGCAUGCUUGGCCAAAGAGGACAACUAUCCCUGAUAGAGGAGGACCAUUCCCUUAGUCAGAGUUGUACGAGUAACUGUGCUUGCCUGCUAGAACCUCCAAACAAGCUCUCAAAAUGAGAAAAUAAAACAGGGAUAGAGAUGUAGCCCAGAGCAAAGGCCUUGGAUUCAAUCCCCCGCCCAAAUCCUACUAAAUUACAGUAUUUUAUGUA
rfam:Fukomys damarensis contig132770, whole genome shotgun sequence.